CAUGACUGGGAGGGAGCUCCUUCAGCUUCUCCUGGGACUCAGGAAGAGAAUCCAACCCCCAAGGCACAGCCGUGCACAUUCCUGGCGGUCCGCUGGCCAAGGCCCAUCCCAUCCUGAGGGCCUGCUCCUCCUAUUUCAUCUGGCUUUGUCAGGAACUGGCUCACUGGACCCCUCCUCACCUAAAGGUGGAUCCUGGCCUCUUCCCUCCUGAUAGCACUGUGCUCUGUAUCUGAAAUCUACCUUUACCCACAGUGGUUCAAUAAAGUCUCCAUCCCACCUCCAUCCUGAGGUGGGCCCAGGGCUGACCCCAUGGAUGCGGAAGACCUCAGCUCAGCAUUAUGGUCCCCUGGGAUGCCCAAUACAGAAGAGAACACAUGCACAGGGCUGGGGGGACACAGAGCAGAUCAGGAGAGACUUCACAGGAGACGGCAUCUCACAUGGCACCACUUCCAAGACAAGCAAUAGUUCCAGGAAGGUUGAGCAAGGCCUGAGACAGCAUGCGGCCCACACCAGGACAUUGGGGGAAAGCGAAGAGCCUUCAAAGGUUGCUCCUUACUCAGGAAAUUACUAGGAGUCAGUGAGCUGAGUUUUCUGUUUCUUUGGGGUCCACUGAGCUCAGGAGGACCUGAGACACAGAAGAAAAUCCUGACAGCUGGACAUUUCAUGUGACACCAAAUGACCAUAAAUGAUUCUAGCCUGA